AAAGUAAAUUUCACUCUGGCUUAAUCAAUGCCCAGGAAGAUUGUGUAGUAAAGGAAGAGUUUGAGGAAAGAAUUUCAAAAAGGUCCUUCUAUUACAAUGGAGAUGUAGGCAGCUGGUGUUAACAGUGGAUGGACAGUGGGAUAUAAUACCUUGAUGUGAUUAUUUUUGAUAGCAGCAGCAGCAACACUGACUACUUUAUAUCUCAGCAAGUAGUUCCUUAGAUCUUUCAAUCCUCCUGUCUUGGUUCACUUCAUUCUGACUUAUUAUGAGAAGUACAGGCUCUGAUUGCUAAUAUACAGAACCCACACCGUUUGGAUUUUGUUUGUUUGGGGAUGGGGAGAGAUACUGAUAUCAGAGAAUAAAAAAUUAACAUGAUAUAGUUUGCAAGCCCUCAUGACAAAGACAUGAGGCUUCAUGUUUUACAGUUUUAACAUAAGCCUUAUUAUGGUAAGUUCUUUUGGCUUCUCCCUUUUUUACUUGUGGUUGUCAGAGCAGAGUCAGUAUGGAUCUAUAUGUUGGCACAAGUUUUACACUGGAUGACCUUUCUGGCACAACUCCAUAUUACAUGGAGAAUUUGCAGGUAUGGCUUUGAACCAGGCACCUUUUCUGAAAACAAGCACACAAACUGCUUGGCCACCAUGCUGGCCUUUAUUACAAAUAACUACAGAAAUAGAAAACAGCAUUCAGUCGGAUUGGCAGUUGCUGUCUUGAAUUACUCAACAUUUCCCAAAAUAGACUACUUCUUUAUUUUUGCCUUGCCAAGUUGGUGCAUAGUGACCACUUGUCUCUUGUCACUGUAAAAUGCCCAUUCUGGUUUAAAAUGAAUGGCAGCUGACCAAGGGGUGACGGGGUCACAGCUAUGCUUGACAGCAUUAUCAACGAUUCCACUGGAGCACAAUCUUCUGGAUAAAUGUAAUGAUGGCAUUUCCAACAAAAUUAUAUUUGUACAAAAUAGCACAAAUACCAGUAUGUUCCUGAGAGGCUUAUAUCGGAUGAUAUUAAUGGCCGCCUGAUAUCUCCGGCUGUAUUACUGUGAAGAUGUUUGAUCAGGCAAGGAAUGCAUUUUCUCUGCCUUCCUCUUGCUGGCCAGAAUAAGGUGUUUUUUUAAAAAGCUGUCACCUAGUAAGUAUUCAGUAGUGACUUUCAGUCAUAUAUUUUUAAAAAACAUUAUUCCCCACAAGCUUAAUGCUCUAUGGAUGAGUUCAAUCACUCUUCAUUCUAUUGUUGAUCAACUUUUAAGAACACUAAAUUAUGAAAGGCUGUGAUAAUUUGAAUGCUUGCAGUCAACUUUUUGUCUAAUUGCGAAGCCUUGACAAAAACGUUCAUUCAUUUUCUGUGCCCACUUAAUCCAGUUAAGGAUGAUGGGGGGAGCUGGAGCCUAUCCAGUCAGUCAUAGGGUGAGAGGCGGAGUACACCCUGGACAGGAUGUCAGUCUGCAGCCAGGCCACAUGUAGAAAGACAAAUUCAUACUCUCACGCAUACCUACGGGUUAUUUAGAGUCACCAAUCCAAAUGUGCAGCUCUGGCAGAUCCAGAAAAUUAAAAUUAUGUGCAUUUAAAGAUUACAGAGCAAAUUCUGACAGGACACAUUUUAUGUGUUUGUCCUGCAGUUAUUCAUUGUCAUAGUACUUUGUGCACAGGGACAUCAAAUGCUGAUAAUGUGGAGAAUGCAGGAAAACGUAUUUUAAAUUUGUUCAUCUUCUUUAAAAAAUAGUUUGUGGAAAGCAUAAAUAUCACACAUUGUUUAAAUGAACAUAGGAAUGUUUCGUGUGGGCAACACUGUCACGAGCUGAUACAUAUUGUUUAUUGGGGUCUAACUUGCUUUUUACUGAAGAUCGUUAUGCAUUAAAAACAACUUUAUUGCUUUUUUUUUUUUUGGCAACUAUAGAACCCUGAAACAGUCUGAGCCAUUAAUAUUUAUACAACUCCAAGCAGAAAAAAUGGGACAGCAUGGAAAAUGCAGAUAAAAAGCAUUUAGUGAAUCUUAAAUUUGCUUUGACUUUUGUUUCAUUGUAGACCGUCAGUCCCUUCAGCUUCUCCCUUAUUUCACUCGGGGUCAUUGCAACAAAUCCGAGGUGAUCCGUAUGUUGUUUUGGUUUUAUGUCGGGUGCCCUUCCUGAUGCAACUUCAGCUUACAUGAAGAAUGGACAGGUGGCCUUCAACCAGAAGCAAAAAUAGUUCAGGUUUUGUGUAACAAACGUCAUUUAAUUUAAUAUUCAUUCAUUCCUGCAUUUAAGGCCUUCAACAUAGUUACAAAGGGACAAUUUAGGUGAUGUAAGCAGGUGACUGUUAACACGAUUUUUGUACAAAAGCUGUAAAAUCACUGCUCUAACCACAUGGGCAAAGCAUUAAUUUGGGAAUCUUUUGUCAUACACUACAAUACGGAGUUACAGUUUAUUGUGCCAAAAUGAAGACUUAUGUUAACCUUGUACAGCAGUGUUGACAUCUGGUUUGGAUCAUCACAUACACUGUGGUCACAGGAAGCAGUAUUAAAGAUCUUUUUGUGGAAGAAGUGGAUGCCGUGUGUUCCAGACCAAAGAAAAUAAAGGACCAUCCAGGCUGUUACUAGCAACAAGUCCAAAAGCUUGAAUUUGUCAUGGUAUGGG